rnacentral:rRNA from 1 species
UACGUAGAGUACAAGCGUUAUCCGGAUUUAUUGGGCGUAAAGCGUUUCGCAGGUGGAAAUACACGUGGCGGGUGCAAGCCGGCAGCUCAACUGUCGAAUUGCUCGUCAUACGAUAUUUCUUGAGUAGGUUGGAGGGAACUGGAAUUCUUUGUGGAGGGGUGAAAUCCGUAGAUACAAAGAGGAACGCCAAGGGUGAAGACAAGUUCCUACGGCCUUACUGACACUCAUGAACGACAGCUAGGGGAGCAAAAGGG